GACGAACGCUGGCGGCGCGCCUAACACAUGCAAGUCGAACGGAGUUUACAAGCGGAAGUUUUCGGAUGGAAGCUUGUAAACUUAGUGGCGGACGGGUGAGUAACACGUGAGCAACCUGCCUAUCAGAGGGGGAUAACGAUUGGAAACGAUCGCUAAUACCGCAUAACGUAGCGGAAAGGCAUCUUUAUGCUACCAAAGAUUUAUCGCUGAUAGAUGGGCUCGCGUCCGAUUAGAUAGUUGGUGAGGUAACGGCCCACCAAGUCGACGAUCGGUAGCCGGACUGAGAGGUCGAACGGCCACAUUGGGACUGAGACACGGCCCAGACUCCUACGGGAGGCAGCAGUGGGGGAUAUUGCACAAUGGGGGAAACCCUGAUGCAGCGACGCCGCGUGAGGGAAGACGGUCCUCUGGAUUGUAAACCUCUGUCUUCGGGGACGAAAGAAGACGGUACCCGAGGAGGAAGCCACGGCUAACUACGUG
rnacentral:rRNA from 1 species